AUUGAACGCUGGCGGAAUGCUUUACACAUGCAAGUCGAACGGCAGCACGGGGCAACCUGGUGGCGAGUGGCGAACGGGUGAGUAAUAUAUCGGAACGUGCCCAAUCGUGGGGGAUAACGUAGCGAAAGUUACGCUAAUACCGCAUACGAUCUACGGAUGAAAGCGGGGAUCGCAAGACCUCGCGCGAAUGGAGCGGCCGAUAUCAGAUUAGGUAGUUGGUGGGGUAAAGGCUCACCAAGCCAACGAUCUGUAGCUGGUCUGAGAGGACGACCAGCCACACUGGAACUGAGACACGGUCCAGACUCCUACGGGAGGCAGCAGUGGGGAAUUUUGGACAAUGGGCGCAAGCCUGAUCCAGCCAUUCCGCGUGCAGGAUGAAGGCCUCGGUUGUAAACUGCUUUGUACGACGAAACGGUCUGCCUAAUACGCAGGCUAAUGACGGUACCGUAACGAAUAAGCACCGGCUAACUACGUGCCAGCAGCCGCGGUAAUACG
rnacentral:rRNA from 1 species